AAAAAAAAAGAAAAAAAGACAAAUAUUUGUGUGGUCUUUUGUAAAAGAACAAGUCACAAAAAGCAGGUUAAUGAUGGUGUCCAAGAGAAUUCCAAUCCUUAUCAAGGAGCGCAACAAAAUUUAAGUUGGUUCCAUCUACUGCAGAACUAAUAACAUACUUUAUUUCUAGUUAUAUGUUCAAUAUUCAAGGGAAAAAUGCCCCAACAUAGUUUGACAGUCAUCCAUCUAGUCUAUCUCUUGCUUUUCAUUUUCUCGAGUUGCUCCAUUCAAAUUGUUGUCCAAUUAGCUUGAGAAUCAAUCCUUUUGUGUUCAGUGGUAUAAGUUCCAGAGCAGCAGUAACAUUACAAAUUUCAGCAGUCAGAGUUAGAAGUGAGUCCUCAUCCUUUGAGGACAUGAUUAUUUAUCUAUAUUCUCAUUGAUUAGUUCAUUAGUCGGAUUUAGUUUUG